GACGAACGCUGGCGGCGUGCUUAACACAUGCAAGUCGGACGGAAAGGCCCUUCGGGGUACUCGAGUGGCGAACGGGUGAGUAACACGUGGGUGAUCUGCCCUGCACUUUGGGAUAAGCCUGGGAAACUGGGUCUAAUACCGAAUAGGACCACGCGCUUCAUGGUGUGUGGUGGAAAGCUUUUGCGGUGUGGGAUGGGCCCGCGGCCUAUCAGCUUGUUGGUGGGGUAAUGGCCUACCAAGGCGACGACGGGUAGCCGGCCUGAGAGGGUGACCGGCCACACUGGGACUGAGAUACGGCCCAGACUCCUACGGGAGGCAGCAGUGGGGAAUAUUGCACAAUGGGCGCAAGCCUGAUGCAGCGACGCCGCGUGAGGGAUGACGGCCUUCGGGUUGUAAACCUCUUUCAAUAGGGACGAAGCGCAAGUGACGGUACCUAUAGAAGAAGCACCGGCCAACUACGUGCCAGCAGCCGCGGUAAUACGUAGGGUGCGAGCGUUGUCCGGAAUUACUGGGCGUAAAGAGCUCGUAGGUGGUUUGUCGCGUUGUUCGUGAAAACUCACAGCUUAACUGUGGGCGUGCGGGCGAUACGGGCAGACUAGAGUACUGCAGGGGAGACUGGAAUUCCUGGUGUAGCGGUGGAAUGCGCAGAUAUCAGGAGGAACACCGGUGGCGAAGGCGGGUCUCUGGGCAGUAACUGACGCUGAGGAGCGAAAGCGUGGGGAGCGAACAGGAUUAGAUACCCUGGUAGUCCACGCCGUAAACGGUGGGUACUAGGUGUGGGUUCCUUCCUUGGGAUCCGUGCCGUAGCUAACGCAUUAAGUACCCCGCCUGGGGAGUACGGCCGCAAGGCUAAAACUCAAAGGAAUUGACGGGGGCCCGCACAAGCGGCGGAGCAUGUGGAUUAAUUCGAUGCAACGCGAAGAACCUUACCUGGGUUUGACAUGCACAGGACGCCGGCAGAGAUGUCGGUUCCCUUGUGGCCUGUGUGCAGGUGGUGCAUGGCUGCCGUCAGUUCGUGUCGUGAGAUGUUGGGUUAAGUCCCGCAACGAGCGCAACCCUUGUCCUAUGUUGCCAGCGGGUUAUGCCGGGGACUCGCAGGAGACUGCCGGGGUCAACUCGGAGGAAGGUGGGGAUGACGUCAAGUCAUCAUGCCCCUUACGUCCAGGGCUUCACACAUGCUACAAUGGCCGGUACAAAGGGCUGCGAUGCCGUGAGGUGGAGCGAAUCCUUUCAAAGCCGGUCUCAGUUCGGAUCGGGGUCUGCAACUCGACCCCGUGAAGUCGGAGUCGCUAGUAAUCGCAGAUCAGCAACGCUGCGGUGAAUACGUUCCCGGGCCU
rnacentral:rRNA from 1 species